rnacentral:rRNA from 1 species
AGAGAGGACAUGCGCGCAUAUCAAUAAGCGGAGGAAAAGAAACUAACAAGGAUUCCCUUAGUAACGGCGAGUGAAGCGGGAAGAGCUCAAAUUUGAAAUCUUCAAGGUUUUACCUUGACGAAUUGUAGUUUAAAGAAGUGUUUUCUGCUGAAGUUUUGGUAAAAGUUCUUUGGAAUAGGACAUCAUAGAGGGUGAGAAUCCCGUAUUUGACCAUUAUUUUCAGCUUUGUGAUACACUUUCAAAGAGUCGGAUUGUUUGGGAAUGCAGUCCAAAAUGGGUGGUAAAUUUCAUCUAAAGCUAAAUAUUGGCGAGAGACCGAUAGCGAACAAGUACCGUGAGGGAAAGAUGAAAAGAACUUUGAAAAGAGAGUUAAACAGUACGUGAAAUUGUCAAAAGGGAAGCGUUUGACACCAGUGUUGUUUUCUCGAAAAUCAAUUAAAAAAGGCAGGAUUUUGUGUUGUAUUGACUUUAUCAGCUUUCUGCACUCUUUUCUUGUCUUUUUUUAAUGCACUUUUCGUUUAACAAGUCAACAUCAAUUUCUUUUGUUGUAAAAGGGUCAUUGGAAGGUGGCUUUCUUUUCGGAGAAAGUGUUUAUAGCCUUUGGCCUCUGCAAUCGGAGAGAUUGAGGUCUGCAGCGUAGAUCCUUCGGGGUUAGAUACAUUUGUGCUAAGUUAUAGCCUUUCAUAGACAACUUGUUGACUAUGAUCAGUCAUGUAGCUUACUCGCUUAUGCUAUUUUACCUACGCUUAGGAUGUUGAGUCGUAGAGCACGCAG